AUUGAACGCUGGCGGCAGGCCUAACACAUGCAAGUCGAACGGUAACAGGAAACAGCUUGCUGUUUCGCUGACGAGUGGCGGACGGGUGAGUAAUGUCUGGGAAACUGCCUGAUGGAGGGGGAUAACUACUGGAAACGGUAGCUAAUACCGCAUAACGUCGCAAGACCAAAGAGGGGGACCCUCGGGCCUCUUGCCAUCGGAUGUGCCCAGAUGGGAUUAGCUUGUUGGUGGGGUAACGGCUCACCAAGGCGACGAUCCCUAGCUGGUCUGAGAGGAUGACCAGCCACACUGGAACUGAGACACGGUCCAGACUCCUACGGGAGGCAGCAGUGGGGAAUAUUGCACAAUGGGCGCAAGCCUGAUGCAGCCAUGCCGCGUGUAUGAAGAAGGCCUUCGGGUUGUAAAGUACUUUCAGCGGGGAGGAAGGGAGUAAAGUUAAUACCUGUGCUCAUUGACGGUACCCGCAGAAGAAGCACCGGCUAACUCCGUG
rnacentral:rRNA from 1 species